rnacentral:tRNA from 1 species
GGUGAUGGUGGGCGGACGUUCGCUUCGCUCCCCUUGGCGCGGAGUCAGCCGGAUGUCGACGUCCGUGGUGCCGGUGCGGGGCCGGGCCACCGUCA